rnacentral:rRNA from 1 species
AUUGAACGCUGGCGGCAGGCCUAACACAUGCAAGUCGAGCGGAUGAAGGGAGCUUGCUCCUGGAUUCAGCGGCGGACGGGUGAGUAAUGCCUAGGAAUCUGCCUGGUAGUGGGGGAUAACGUCCGGAAACGGGCGCUAAUACCGCAUACGUCCUGAGGGAGAAAGUGGGGGAUCUUCGGACCUCACGCUAUCAGAUGAGCCUAGGUCGGAUUAGCUAGUUGGUGGGGUAAAGGCCUACCAAGGCGACGAUCCGUAACUGGUCUGAGAGGAUGAUCAGUCACACUGGAACUGAGACACGGUCCAGACUCCUACGGGAGGCAGCGGUGGGGAAUAUUGGACAAAGGGCGAAAGCCUGAUCCAGCCAUGCCGCGUGUGUGAAGAAGGUCUUCGGAUUGUAAAGCACUUUAAGUUGGGAGGAAGGGCAGUAAGUUAAUACCUUGCUGUUUUGACGUUACCAACAGAAUAAGCACCGGCUAACUUCGUG